rnacentral:rRNA from 1 species
AUUGAACGCUGGCGGCAGGCCUAACACAUGCAAGUCGAGCGGAUGAAGGGAGCUUGCUCCUGGAUUCAGCGGCGGACGGGUGAGUAAUGCCUAUGAAUCUGCCUGGUAGUGGGGUAUAACGUCCUGAAACGGGCGCUAAUACCGCAUACGUCCUGAGGGAGAAAGUGGGGGAUCUUCGGACCGCACGCUAUCAGAUGAGCCUAGGUCGGAUUAGCUAGUUGGUGGGGUAAAGGCCUACCAAGGCGACGAUCCGUAACUGGUCUGAGAGGAUGAUAAGUCACACUGGAACUGAGACACGGUCCAGACUCCUACGGGAGGCAGCAGUGGGGAAUAUUGGACAAUGGGCGAAAGCCUGAUACAGCCAUGCCGCGUGUGUGAAGAAGGUCUUCGGAUUGUAAAGCACUUUUAGUUGGGAGAGAGGGCAGUAAGUUAAUACCUUGCUGUUUUGACGUUACCAACAGAAUAAGCACCGGCUAACUUCGUG